rnacentral:lncRNA from 1 species
CACGGAUGCCGAGUUUCAGGGUAUUGUACGUGUCAUUCAGAAAUGUGUUCCUGCUCAUUCAGAGCUCUGAAAAAGAGUUGACAAACAUCAGAGGAGAAUUGUGGCUAACGCAGAAAUAAUAGGAAGAAAAAAAUCAAUGUAGAGAUGUAAUUGAAGCUGGCCACUUAUUGACACAAUGACAAAGCUAAUUCCCAAUGCCGAUGGUGAUGCCUCUGCUCAGCUGAAUUUAAUAUCUCUGGACAAAGCCCUUGAAAUGCUGUAUCCCCUUUGUGAGGGGAAGAGGAGGAAGGCAAUGGAGAACUCCAUUUGGUAUGCUUGUGACUUGGCUUCACCCAUCCAAAAGCAACCCUGUAAACUGGAGUGCUGGCAAGAAUGGAAGAUUUGGUUUUUAAUGAGACUCUCUGCUGUGAUUCCCAUGAAGCAAUCAGAUAAGUCAACUUGCUGAGUAGACUCACUAUGCAAUACUUUAUUUAUAAUGCAUUAUAGUUACUUGAAGAUGCCUCUGCAUUCUUGACUUUUUAGGGAGUAGAAUGGACAUUUCUUCUUCAACUUUAUAUCCUUUAUGUAUCCAUUUACUUAGUUCCUAGUAUGUGCUUUAAAUGUCUAAUCUGAUCACACCAGAACUUCCACAAGACUUAUCAUUGAGAUUAAUUCCAUUUAUAUCUCCCUGGAAUUAAAUGAAGCCUCAUCUUGACCUCUUAACAGGUGAUUCCAAUGCAGACUUUUGGAAACAACCAUUCUACACUACUGCCUGUAUGCUUGGUGCUGUUAACAGCAGGCAUGUCUACAAGAAGCCAUGAUCUUCUAUCCAGAUGUAACAGAUAAGAUGAGAAAAUAUGCAUACUACUUUAUUUCUACGCUAAAAGAAUAAUUACUACAUCUUGAGUUUUCUUAAACACACUUCAAGCUAUGUUAACUACUGUCUUUUAACUUUUAACAUAGUUGGCUGUGUUUUCAAAGAGGCUGUCUGGUUUGGAAAAUGACAUUAAUUUGAAUUUAAAGAAAGAAGCACAUAUUUUUCAUUAACUUUUGUAAAAAAUGUUUCCCCUUAUCUAGAUUAAAAGAAAGUCUUUUUGAAGGGCAGCAAAUUACCAGUCUAGAGAUAAUUUCAUAAAAUAAUUGUCUUCAUACUGAUUUAUGUGAAACAAUAGUUGACAUAUAAAAUAAAUUUUAACCAAAAAUACCCUAUAGAAUUAAUAAGUGUAUUAUUACUUUCCCCUCAUUUUAUUAGGUUUCAUUUUGCUAAAAUAAAAUCAAUUUUCUUCAAUGUGGAGAAUUAAGCAGGCAAUUGAAAUGAUGCACCUGAGGUAUAAAAUUAUUUCCAAGUGCAAGGCCCAAUAAUAUAUUAAAUAAUGCAAAAUUUGGAAAACAAUGUUUUACCAAAGUAAAUUUUAUAUAACAUAGAAUUAUGGCAAUAAAACUGAACUUAAGUGGAAACAAAUCAAAAUUUGAAAAUGUACUUCACCCAGACAAAAUAUUUAUUAGCAACUAAUGGGACAGCUGAUUGCAACACUGUUAUUGAUAGAUUUUACUACAGGGAUGGAGAAGUACUAUCUUUCAUCAAAGAUUUUACACUGUAGUAAAGGCCUGGCCCAGGACAGAGGUUGCCUUGCUUGGCAUUUUCUGGCAUUUGAAAAAAGGCCAAAAAAUUAGCCGUAUCAGAGCUAAGAGUUAUGUAAAACUGCAAAUUGAAGGUAAAGGAAAGGAGAGGAUUAAGAGUAGAUCCAUUGCACCUGUCAUGCCUUUCAAUGAAAGAAGGAAUGCAAUGGGAACACAGGUUUGGGUGAAGCAAAUGAAAUAAAUUCAGUUUUGGACAUCCUGAAUUUGUGAUACCAGUAGCCAUCAUUGUUUAUGGUUUACCUAGCAUUGUUGCAAAUAUUUUACAUUUAUCAUGUCGUACAAUUCUUACCGUAAUCUCACAAAAAGGACACUAUUAUUUGUUAUCCCCAUUUGCCAGAUGAGGCCCAGGGAGCUGAAGCAAUCUGUCCAAGACACACAGUUAGUUGAUAACAGAGCUGGACUUGAAUCAAGCCAGACUAUCUCUAGAACAGCAGCUUUUUCUAUUAUUUCAAUUUUAUUUUUGAGUGGUAAUGACAUUGAAAUGGCUCAAAAAUCAAAUGGAUAUAAAAUGGUAUUCAUGCAGAAGUCUUGUUUCUAUUUCUUUGUGUCUAGUUUUUCUUUGUGCAAAUACAUGAAAAUGUAAGUGCUUAUAUUUAUCUCCUUUGAACUUGUUCUUCCUUACAUUUCCUUCCUGUCUUCCUUCUUUUUUCUUCAUUGCUUCCUUUCUUUCUUCCUUUUUUCUUAUAUUAUUUUCUCAAUAUAAAAAUAAUAUUCUAUAUUUAAUAUGUUAAUAAAAUGUAUUAUACAUAUCUACAUAUCUGAAUUCUUGGUAAUUGUUGCCUCUUUUAUUAAAAAAUAAGGUCAUAGCUUUUCUGGAUUGGAAAAUCAAGAAAAUUUUUUUGGUCAUAAGCCAAAAGGCAAUAAUUAAAUUAAAGCUGUAUUUGCUCUAGGCCUCACAUUUUGUAUCUCUAUUAGAUGAUCCACCACCAGAAACAUGGGCUUGCAGCUUCUAAUAAAGAAUAUGAAAUGGACGGAUCACGAGGUUGGAGAUCGAGUCCAUCCUGGCUAACACGGUGAAACCACGUCUUUACUAAAAAUACAAAAAAGAUUAGCCAGGCAUAGUGGUGGGUGCCCGUAGUCCCAGCUACUUGGGAGGCCGAGGCAGGAGAAUGGCAUGAACCCAGGAGGCGGAGCUUGCAGUGAGCCAAGAUCGCACCACUGCACUCCAGCCUGGGUGACUGAGUGAGACUCUGUCUCCAAAAAAAAAAAAAAAAAAAAAA